GACGUAGGGCGCGAGCGUUGUCCGGAAUUAUUGGGCGUAAAGAGCUCGUAGGCGGUUCGUCACGUCGGCUGUGAAAUCCCGAGGCUCAACCUCGGGUCUGCAGUCGAUACGGGCGGACUUGAGUACUGCAGGGGAGACUGGAAUUCCUGGUGUAGCGGUGAAAUGCGCAGAUAUCAGGAGGAACACCGGUGGCGAAGGCGGGUCUCUGGGCAGUAACUGACGCUGAGGAGCGAAAGCGUGGGGAGCGAACAGG
rnacentral:rRNA from 1 species